rnacentral:rRNA from 1 species
AUUGAACGCUGGCGGCAGGCCUAACACAUGCAAGUCGAGCGGAUGAAGGGAGCUUGCUCCUGGAUUCAGCGGCGGACGGGUGAGUAAUGCCUAGGAAUCUGACCUGUAGUUGGGGAUAACGUCCGGAAACGGGCGCUAAUACCGCAUACGUCCUGAGGGAGAAAGUGGGGGAUCUUCGGACCUCAAGCUAUCAGAUGAGCCUGGGCCGCAUUAGCUAGUUGGUGGGGUAAAGGCUUACCAAGGCGACGAUCCGUAACUGGCCUGGGAGGGGGAUCGGCAACAUUGAACUGGGACAACGUCCAGACUCCUAAGGGAGGGAGCAGUGAGGAAUAUUGCAGCAAUGGGGGAAGGCCUGACGAGGCAACGCGGGGGUGGGGAUAAAGUCCUUCGAUUGGUAAACCCCUUUUGUUAGGGGAGAACACAGUAAGUAAAUACCGUGCUGUUUUUGAGGGACCAAAAGAAGAAGCCCCCGCCUACCUCCGG